rnacentral:rRNA from 1 species
CUGAUGACCGAUAGUGAAGCAGUACCGUGAGGGAAAGGUGAAAAGAACCCCGGGAGGGGAGUGAAAUAGAACCUGAAACCGUGUGCCUACAACCGGUCAAAGCCCCAUAUGAGGGUGAUGACGUGCUUUUUGUAGAACGAGCCAACGAGUUACGGUAUGUAGCAAGGUUAAGUACUUAAGGUACGGAGCCGAAGGGAAACCGAGUCUUAAUAGGGCGAC